rnacentral:rRNA from 1 species
AUUGAACGCUGGCGGCAUGCCUUACACAUGCAAGUCGAACGGCAGCACGGGGCAACCUGGUGGCGAGUGGCGAACGGGUGAGUAAUGUAUCGGAACGUACCAUUCAGUGGGGGAUAACGUAGCGAAAGUUACGCUAAUACCGCAUACGUCCUGAGGGAGAAAGCGGGGGACCGAAAGGCCUCGCGCGAUUGGAGCGGCCGAUGUCGGAUUAGCUAGUUGGUAGGGUAAAGGCCUACCAAGGCGACGAUCCGUAGCGGGUCUGAGAGGAUGAUCCGCCACACUGGGACUGAGACACGGCCCAGACUCCUACGGGAGGCAGCAGUGGGGAAUUUGGACAAUGGGCGCAAGCCUGAUCCAGCCAUGCCGCGUGAGUGAAGAAGGCCUUCGGGUUGUAAAGCUCUUUCAGGUGGAAAGAAAACGCAUGGGUCAAUACCCUGUGUGGAUGACGGUACCAUCAGAAGAAGCACCGGCUAACUACGUGCCAGCAGCCGCGUAAAACG